rnacentral:rRNA from 1 species
CCCCUAGAUGUUCUGGGCCGCACGCGCGCUACACUGAACAGUUCAACAAGUCUUAACCUUGGCCGAUAGGUCUGGGUAAUCUUUGAACGCUGUUCGUGAUUGGGAUACACCUUUGCAAUUAUGGGUCUUCAACGAGGAAUUCCUAGUAAACGCAAGUCAUCAGCUUGCAUUGAUUACGUCCCUGCCCUUUGUACACACCGCCCGUCGCACCUACCGAUUGAAUGGUCCGGUGAAAUCUCGGGACGGCGGCUUGGUCGCUUGCGUCCGACUGCUGAAACUUGAUUAAACCAUAUCAUUUAGAGGAAGGUGAAGUCGUAACA